rnacentral:rRNA from 1 species
UACGUGAGGGGCGAACGUUGUUCGGUGUCACUGGGCUUAAAGGGCUCGUAGGCGGUCCAUCGCGUCGGGAGUGAAAAGCUGGGGCUUAACCCCAGUCCUGCUUCCGAUACGGGUGGACUAGAGGUAGGUAGGGGAGAACGGAAUUCCUGGUGUAGCGGUGAAAUGCGCAGAUAUCAGGAGGAACACCGGUGGCGAAGGCGGUUCUCUGGGCCUUACCUGACGCUGAGGAGCGAAAGCAUGGGGAGCAAACAGG